rnacentral:tRNA from 1 species
UUUACCUUGGCUCAGUUGGUAGAGCGGAGGACUGUAGAUCCUUAGGUCGCUGGUUCGAAUCCGGCAGGGCAGA